GCAGCAUGCAAUAAUCGUGCGUUGUGUGUUUCAAGUGACAACCCUGCGACAGUACCGCGAAUGCGAAACUAUAUUUUAGUCCUUUAAUAGUUUAAAGGAUAUUUUUUUAAUUUUUAAUGCAUUAUAAUUUGAACUUAGCGGUACUCCACUAGUGUUUGUAAUACGUAAGGUUAGUUUAGGGUCGAUACACGAUGGUGGACGCAGCUAGUCUAGUCAACUCCAUUUUGGCGGACGAUGGCUACAACGCACUGUCUGAUGACACCAAAAGCAAGUUUCAGCAGUAUUUACGCAACCCUACUACAAGUCGCAAUGAGAUCGGGACAAAUACUUCAGGUGAAACCAGAAAUCAACCGGAAAUUGAUUUUGAUAUGCUCAACAACAGUACUAGCAUUCGAGGAGCUAAGUUUUUGGAAUUGCAAAAAGAAAUCGAGGCAGUCAAUGAACAGUUUAAAAACACGUUGAAACAAAAACAUGAUCUGAUGUUACACAACGAUUCACUAUUAAAGAAUUUACAUGAGGCUGAAGUUAGAGAAAGAAUGACUAAAGAGGGUGAUGGUAUAUUACAGCUAAAAAUUGAUACCUUAACUGAAAGUUUAUUAAAGUCCAAAAAUAAAUUUUCAAAUCUUCAUGCAAAGUAUCAUAAAGAAAUAAAUGAAUUAAAACCAAAUUUAGAUGAAAAAAAUGCAGAGGUUUUGGCGUUAAAAAAUGAUGUCAAUUUAUUACAAAUAAAAUCUAAAAAUCAAGAAGAUAUUAUAAACAUAAUGAAACGUGAAAUAGAUGAUUUAAACCUUGUACAUGCAAAUGAAACAGAAAAAAUUAAUAAAGAGUUAACUAAUAAUCAAACUUUAAUGAAUCAUUAUAAGGUAUGUUAUGAAAAUAAACUUGAGCAAACUAAACAAUUAACAAUGGAUAUAAUGGAAAAUAGAGACUAUGUAAGCAAACUAACAUCGAAUACAAAUGAUAUUGAAAAAAGAUACGAAACACUUUCAAAUGAUCAUCAACAAUACAAAAUUGACUCGGAUAACACAAUAUGUGUAUUAAGAAGCAAGUUAAAUGCUUCAGAGGAAAUAGUUAAAAAAUUACUUCCUGUCAAUUCGGAUAAUCCAAAUUAUCUUAUACAUAAAGGAACGACAAUUACUGAUGUUUAUGCUAUUUAUAAGGAGACAUGUUUAAGUUUACAAGAUACAACACUAGAACUUGAACAUUGCAAAAGAAACUUUAAUAUUUUAGAAGAACAAAUUAGGAAUGCUGCGCCCGAAGUUGAUCAAAUGGAGAAAGAUUUAAUUGAAUCAAAUGAAAAAGUUAAACAUUUAUGUGAAACUAUUCUAAGAUUGGAGUUGAAGUUGAAGGAUGUUAAUAAUAAAUUAGAACUGUCUAAUACUAAAAGUGAUCAGUUAUCAAAAGAUAAUAAAAAACUUCAAAGUAUCGAAGACGAUUUGAGCAAACAAGUAUGUUUCUUAUUGCGAAGUAACCAGUGCAAUACACGUUAUGAAAAUCGUAAUGUUGGAAUAGAUAUGAGUCCCCAAUCAAUUAUUUCAAAGAAUUAUGUUACAUUUGAAAACAUACAAGGCUUACAAAAACAAAACAAAAAAUUACUAGAAAUUAUUCGUUCUUUAUCUAAAGCAAAUGAUGAACAAGAUAUACAAUUAAUAAAAGAUUUAAAGGAUGAAAUAAAAAUCUUGGAAGAUAAAUUAGAAUCAAAGGCUCAAUUGAUUGACCAGCAAACGGAAAAAAUAUCUCAAUUACAAUCUUUGGAAUUAACGUCUAAUUUAACUACACAGUCAAAUGAUGGUGCACAAAUUAAAGUUCUAAGUCCUAACAAAACAACAUUAGAAAAUGAUGAUAAUAUAGAUGUUAGGACAGAAGGAAAUUUAGAAUAUUUUUCUGUAGUUCGUGAACUAAAUGCUGCCAAAUGUACGAUUAAACAACUUAAAGAGAAACUUGAAUCUAAUAGUGUUGCUCGUUUGCGGUUGGACCAACACGUUCAAGAGUUAAAUCUUCAAAUAAAUGAGUUACAAAAAAAAAUAAAAACCUCCAAUAUUAGACAUUCUGAAAAUGAAGAAAACAUAGACAACUUGCAUGGCAAAAUAUUAUCUUUGGAAACAGAAAAUCAAGAGGUAAAACUUGAAUUAGACAAAAUAAAAAAUCAAUUUAACAUUUUAAAAAAAGAUAAAGAUAGCAUGUAUAUUUCAAACAUGAAUUAUUCUCGUGAAUUGAGACAAAAAACAGAGUUACAAAAAGAAUUCGAGAAAACUUUAACUUUCCAAUUAGAUUCACUAAUUAUAAAUUGGAAUUUUACAUUAGCGUAUAUUGCUGAAACUGAUUAUGAUAAAGUUAAGUUCAAAGAAGAAUAUAAAAAAUUGACAAAAACAUUAAAGGAUGUUAGAGAUACUUUACUUCUAAAAUUGGAAGCUAUAGAUGACUUGAGUACAUUCAAAGAAAUGUCUCGAUCCAGAACCAAUUCAUUCAGUUUGUGUACAGAUGAGCGUUCUAACUUCCAGAGUGUUAAUAAGCUUGAGCACGAAGUAAAAAAUCUCAAAUCAAAACUUAAUGAAAGUGACCAAUUGAAAAAUCAGUUAAAAUCAGAAUUAAAUGUGACCAAACAACUUUACAAAUAUUUAGAGGAAAAUUUAAAAAAAAUGAGUGAAUAUUCUUCACAAUUAGAAAAUGAACGUGAAAUGAAAAAAAAAGACUACUUAGAAAAAGAUCAGCAGUUAAAUCAUGUUAUGCAAGAAUUAAGCGAGUUUAAAUUAUCUCAAAACAAUAACAUCAAUAAAUUACAAAAUCAAUUGUUGGAGUAUGAGCAAAAAUACAGUAAAAUGUUAGAAGAAUUGGAAGCAGCAAAAGACUAUAGUGAUGAACUAUUAAAAAACAUUUCAAAACAUAAUAAUACCAUAUUAACACUUGAAGAAGAAUUGAAAAAGUCUGUUAAUGAUAAGGACAAAUUGGAGAAAAGCCUUAAUCAUAAAUUAGAGCAUUAUAAAUAUAAAUUAGAAGUUAGUGAAAGCGCAUAA